AAUGAACGUUGGCGGCGUGGAUUAGGCAUGCAAGUCGUGCGAGAAGCUCUCCUUCGGGAGGGUGGAAAGCGGCGAAAGGGAGAGUAACGCGUGGAUACCUGCCCCGGGAUCCGGGAUAGCUGCGGGAAACUGCAGGUAAUACCGGAUAACGUCUCCGGACCAAAGGUGUGAUUCCGUCUUGGGAUGGGUCCACGUCCUAUUAGCUUGUUGGUGGGGUAACGGCCUACCAAGGCGACGAUGGGUACCGGGCGUGAGAGCGUGGCCCGGCUCACUGGGACUGAGACACUGCCCAGACACCUACGGGUGGCUGCAGUCGAGAAUCUUCGGCAAUGGGCGCAAGCCUGACCGAGCGACGCCGCGUGCGGGAUGAAGGCCUUCGGGUUGUAAACCGCUGUCAGAGGGGAGGAAAUCCUGGGAGGCUAUCCUUUCAGGUUGACCUAUCCUCAGAGGAAGGACGGGCUAAGUUCGUG
rnacentral:rRNA from 1 species